GGAUCUACAGCUCAGUGGUAGAGGGCCUGCCUUGCAUGCAUGAGACCCUGGGUUUGAUUCCCAGUACCU
rnacentral:tRNA from 1 species